rnacentral:rRNA from 1 species
UACGAAGGGGAGCUAGCGUUGCUCGGAAUGACUGGGCGUAAAGGGCGCGUAGGCGGCCCGUUUAGUCAGAUGUGAAAGCCCCCGGGCUCAACCUGGGAACUGCAUUUGAUACUGGCGGGCUUGAGUUCCGGAGAGGAUGGUGGAAUUCCCAGUGUAGAGGUGAAAUUCGUAGAUAUUCGGAAGAACACCAGUGGCGAAGGCGGCUCACUGGCCCGGUACUGACGCUGAGGUGCGAAAGCGUGGGGAGCAAACAGGG